GGAGGCUCAAUUGGAAAAGUGUUUGCCAUGCAAGCAAGGAAUGGAUCCUGAGUUCAAAUCUCAGAAUCCA
rnacentral:tRNA from 1 species